rnacentral:lncRNA from 1 species
CAAAAACUCCUUCCAAAAAAAUUAGUUCCCUCAACACUAUUAUAGAUAGUUUGUUUUCGUCACCUUUGUUAGUGCCUGUUUUAAUGUCAUGUACAACUUGAAAAAAAGCUAACAAAGUUAAAACUUAUCAUAUUUAAAUUGACUUAUUGUUUAUGAAAUUUAUUUGGAGUUUAUGUUGGUGAAUUGAACUCGUUAUUGAAAUCAAUUGAGCUAAAAUCAAGACAAAUAAAAAUUGGAUUGAAGACUUUUAAUAUAAUCUAAGUUUCCUUAAAAAAGAAGAUACCAAGAAGAUUUCCGCUAUUAUGUAAACUAUUGAAGAUUUGUUUUUGUGGUUAUUUUAGUGAAAUUUAAGUAAUUGUAAUUGAUUGUAACUUGUUCAUAUUAGCUCUUAUAUAUAUAUAUAUAUAUGCUGUAUGCACUAACUACUUAGGUUAAAGAGACAAAUGGGAGUACACUCUUGUUUUGCUAUUAUGUAAACUAUUGAAGAUUUGUUUUUGUGGUUAUUUUAGUGAAAUUUAAGUAAUUGUAAUUGAUUGUAACUUGUUCAUAUUAGCUCUUAUAUAUAUAUAUAUAUGCUGUAUGCACUAACUACUUAGGUUAAAGAGACAAAUGGG